GUAGAAAAAGGUCAAUUUGCGUCGCCCCAUUUGCGUCGCACAAACACGGAAACGACGCAGAAAUACUAUUUGCGUCGCACACAAUGAAGUGUGCGACGCACAACAUGGGUCCAGAUCAUAAAAAGAAGAUUUGCGUCAGACAAUUUGAAGCACGCGACGCAAACGAUCCAACAAUGUGCGUCGCACGUGCCUAAGUGUGCGACGCACAUGACACAAAAUAAAUUUGGACCCGCUCACUUUGUUUAAACCCUAGCGCCUCAUCUAAACAUUGCAGCGCCUCUCUCAACUUCAUUUCACCCUCACUCUCACUCUCACUCUCACUCCAACUUCUAGCGCCUCUCUCUUCAUCUUCCUCUCCCAUCUCACUGUCACUCCCUCUCUCUCUCUUCAUCUUCCUCUUCCUCUUCCAUCUCAACAUUACAGCGCCUUUCUCUCUCUUAAUCUCGCUGGAACUUCAUUUUCAUCAUCAGCAGACGCACCCUUGGCGAGUCGAUCUCAACAUUACAGCGCCUCAUCUUCGUUUUCUCUGUCAGAUUCAAGAAGGAAGCUUCUGCUAAACUGAAGAUAUGAACGCUAAGAAAGACUCAUCAGCAGACGCACCCUAGGCGAGUCGAUCUCGUGCCGGCGAAUCAAAUCUGGGUAAUUUAGGACUGUUCCUCGUCGGUUUAAAGGGUGAGGAUUGAAGAUUAAACUCUCGUCGGUGAAGAUUGAAGAACAUUAAACUCUCGUCGGUUCAGAUUUGUUUUUAGUUAUGUUUUUUGAGUUUUCCCCUGUGAAUCAAGAAAGAAAAUAUUCAGAUUUUUGUUUUUGUUCAAUAUUUUCAUUUUGUUCGUGUAUUUUGUUAUUCUUUUUCGAUUCUUGUAGUUCUUGUAGUUCUUGUAGUUUCUCAGUUUUUUGUUAAUCUAUUCAGAUUUUUCUUUUUGUUCAAUAUUUUCAUUUCACUUUCUUAGUGUAUUUUGUUAUUCUACGAGAGUUAUUCUAUUUUGUUAGUUUCUCAUUUUGUCGACGAGAGUUAUUCUACCCAGAUUCUUGUAUUUUGAGAUC